UUCUCAGCGCCUCCGUCCUAUCCCUGUGCCACCAUCCCACCGCAUCUCCAUCCUGUCCCUGUGCCAAACUGGAUGUCUCCACCCUUCCAUGUGCCACCAUCCCACCACAUCUCCAUCCUGUCCCUAUGCCACCAUCCCAUGGCAUCUCCACCCUUCCAUGUGCCACCACCCCAUGGCAUCCCCAUCCUACCCACACGCCACCAUCCCAUGCCAUCCCCGUCCUGCUCAUGUGCCACCAUCCCAUGGCAUCUCCACCCUUCCAUGUGCCACCAUCCCAUGGCAUAUCCAUCCUGCCCAUGUGCCAAACUGGAUGUCUCCAUCCUCCCAUGUGCCACCAUCCCAUGGCAUCCCCAUCCUACCCACACGCCACCACCCCAUGGCAUCCCCAUCCUGCCCAUGUGCCACCAUCUGUAGUGGCAGUGCUGAGUCCCGGCCUGAAGCAGUGACGGAGCACGUGGCGGAAGGCCGGGCCAGCCCAGGGAGCUCAGGUGCGUGCAAUGCAAUACAGCUGAGUGAGUGGGAGGGCUGGAGCCAUCACCCACCCCUUCCCAGCCCUCAUUGAAGGCCUGGCAGUGGAGGUGAGGGGCUCUCCCUGGAGCUCUCAGUGUACCUGCAGCCUUCAGGAGGUAAGCAGCUUCCUUCCUCCCUUCCUUUGUUUCUGUGCUCAUAGUUGUUGUGUUUGAGCAAGUCCCCGCUUGCUGCAGCCUGGGACGUUGCCGCUCUGCUGUCACUGCUGUGCUUCUCAUUGCAUUGCAGCAUGAUACCAUCCCAUGGCACCUCCAUCUCCCGGUGCGCCACCAUCACUGGGCAUCUCAUCCUGUCCGUGGCAUUUCCAUCCUCCCAUCUGCCUCCAACCCCAUGGACCCCCCCUCUGAGCCAGCCUGGAGUCCUGCAGCCCCUUCCUUUGCCAGACUGUUCCCGUGGGGCGGCUGUGUGUCCCCGUGGGGCAGUGGAAGGCCUGGGAGUGCAGGGAUGGAGAUGCAGCUGUGCAGGGUUGGAGCUGCAUCCAUGGAUGGAGCUGUUCCUAUUGAUGGAGCUGCACCCGUGGAUGAGAUGACAGCAGGGAUGGAGCUGUACCCACGGAUGGAGCCAUACGGAGAUGGAGCUGCGCCCGUACCCACGGAUGGGAUGGAGUGACCCCACGGAUGAGGGCCGUACCCCACGGAUGAGGGCCGUACCCCACGGAUGGAGCCAUGUGGGGACGCAGCCGCACCAACACGAGAUGGUUUCACCUCUCCAAAUCAACACACGCUGCUGCAGCCUCCGCCGUCCUCUCCCUCCACCCCUCCCCGCUCUGCCCCACACGCAGCACCCCACGGCCAUCCCUGCCCUCCUCACCCCCGGGACCCCCAGCAAAGCCACCGCAGCGUUUGCUCGGUGCCGGCCGUUCCUGGAGCUCUCACACCGUGGCCAACUGCACGCUGUGCGCCCGGGGACGUCACGGCCGAUCCCUCGCUCCGCUUCCUCGAAGGCCGUCUGCUGCGUGCCAGGGUGACGCUGGCGGCUCGGGGCUGACCUGCUUUUUCUCCUCCAGCCCUCGCUUUGAAUCCCUCCGGCCGGCCCGGCCCUCUGCACGGCUCCGAGAGCGCCGACGGCUUCCUGUGUGGGCGGUGGAAUUUGGCACCCGGCUGUGGGGAUGGAGCGGCCAAUGUACAACGCCCGGCACCGUGCGCCCAGCAACGCCGUGCAACGAGCAACACCGUGCAUGCAUCCUGCACUGUGCACCCAGCAACACUGCACCCAGCAAUGCUGUGCACCCAGCAAUGCCGUGCAUGCAUCCUGCACUGUGCACCCAGCAACGCUGUGCACCCACCAAGGCUGUGCAUGCAUCCUGCACUGUGCACCCAGCAACACUGCACCCAGCAACGCCGUGCACCCACCAAGGCUGUGCAUGCAUCCUGCACUGUGCACCCACUAAGGCUGUGCACCCACCAAGGCUGUGCAUGCAUCCUGCACUGUGCACCCAGCAACACUGCACCCAGCAAUGCCGUGCAUGCAUCCUGCACCGUGCACUCACCAAUGCUGUGCAUGCAUCCUGCACUGUGCACCCAGCAACACUGCACCCAGCAAUGCCGUGCGCCCAUCCUGCACUGCGCAUCCAGCAAUGCCGUGCAUGCAUCAUGCACUGUGCCCCCAGCAACACUGUGCACCCAGCAACACUGCACCCACCAAUGCUGUGCACCCACCAAUGCUGUGAACGCAUCCUGCACCAUGCACACACCAGUGCUCUGCACCCAGCAAUGCUGUGCACGCAUUCUGCACCGUGCACCCAGCAACACUGUGCACCCACCAAUGCUGUGCAUGCAUCCUGCACUGUGCACACAUCAACGCUGUGCACCCAGCAACAUGACACCCAGCAAUGCUGUGCAUGCAUCCUGCACCACGCACCCAGCAACACUGAGCACCCAGCAGCACCGUGCACACAUCCAGCACCAAUGCACCCACCAACACUGCACCCAGCAAUGCUGUGCAUGCAUCCUGCACCGUGCACCUACCAACGCUGUGCACCCAACCAGCACCGUGCAACCAUCCAGGGCUGUGCGCCCACCCAACACCAUGCACGCAUGUGGCACUGUGCACCCAUCCAGCACCCAAAAUCACGCACCCACCAACUCUGUGCACCACCACCAACGUGCACACAUCACCCACGCAGCACCAUGCACCCACCCUGCUGCACACGGAGGGCACACAUUGCACUUGCUUGCAUGUUGCACACCUGGCAGGCACAUAACAUGUUGCACGCCUAGAGCACGUUGCAUGCUUUGUAUGCAUGUUGCACGUUGAGAUCACGCGCUGCAUGCUUUAUAUGCACGUUGCAUGCUGACAACACAUGUUGCACGCUAUAUGCACACUGCAUGUUGCAUGCUGAGCAUGCGUGUUGCACACUGGUCGUGCAUGCUGCACUGUGCACCCUGCUGACCCCAUGCACCCACCAGCACCGUGCAGGAGCUGCAUGCACCGGGGCUGCCCACACACCCUAAUAGCAACGUGUGGCCUCUCCAGGAAGACCCUUUGUUCCCCCUCCACCCCAUAAGUGCGGUCCCCUCCUCCUUCUGUGCUUAUGGGGGGGUCCCGGUGCUGCCCAUGCUGUAACCCCAAUAAUGCCCAUGGUGUAACCCCAAUGGUGUCCGUAGUGUAACACCACUUCUGUCCAUGGGAUACCCCAAUGCUGCCCAUGGUGUACCCCAAUAGUUCCCAUGGUGUACCCCACUACUGCCCAUAGUGUAACCCCAAUAGUGCCCAUAGUGAAACCCCAAUGCUGCC
ensembl:lncRNA